rnacentral:rRNA from 1 species
AACGAACGCUGGCAGCGUGGAUUAGGCAUGCAAGUCGAACGAGAUUACCUAAGAAGCUUUGCUUUUUGAGUAUUAGGUGAGAGUGGCGGAAGGGCGAGGACAAUAUGGAUAAUUUGCCCGUAAGCUGGGGAUAACUCAGGGAAACCUGAACUAAAACCGAAUGUGGUGGGGGUUGACAUCAAUCUCUGACUAAAGGAGGGGACUCUUUUGAGCCUUCUGCUUAUGGAUAAGUCCGUAGAUCAUCAGCUAGUUGGUGGGGUAAUGGCUCACCAAGGCAUUGACGAUUAGCUGGUCUGAGAGGACGGCCAGCCGCACUGGGACUGAGAACUGCCCAGACUCCUACGGGAGGCUGCAGUCGAGGAUCAUUCGCAAUGGACGAAAGUCUGACGAUGCGACGCUGCGUGGAGGAUGACGGCCUUCGGGUUGUAAACUCCUGUCAUGAGGGACAAGGAGACCUGCGAUAAUAUCAAGGGAAUAGGAUGGUACCUCAAGAGGAAGAGACGGCUAACUCUGUGCCAGCAGCCGCGGUAAUACAGAGGUCUCAAGCGUUGUUCGGAUUUACUGGGCGUAAAGGGCGCGUAGGCGGCUAGGUGUGUCAGAUGUGAAAUCUCCGGGCUCAACCCGGAAAGUGCGUUUGAAACUGCUCAGCUAGAGUAUGGAAGGGGAGUGCGGAAUACAAGGUGUAGCGGUGGAAUGCGUUGAUAUCUUGUAGAACACCGGUGGCGAAGGCGGCACUCUGGGACAUUACUGACCCUGAGAGCGCGAAAGCAGAGGGAGCAAACAGC